AUUGGAUUGAAGGGAGCUCCA
rnacentral:miRNA from 3 species